rnacentral:sRNA from 1 species
AUUUGGUGGGGACAGAGAUCCAAACCAUAUCAAUAGGUAUUUACACUUUAAGAAAAUGAGAUUUGUUCUGAAAGUUAGUUACUACAUUAAUGGUUUGAAUUUGGGAUGAUAUAUUUGCUCAUAGAAACCUUCUUUUAAAUCCAUAUUGAAUUCACAACCAGCUUGUAGAAACCCUAUAUUGACAAAUUUAUUGAAGACAUAGAAAUUUUACUAAUGCUGUCUUAAUCUUUUACAUUUCCUUUCCUCUUUUUCUUCAUUUUUAAGAGGUUUUGUGUACACCACCUCCAAAAAUAAAAAAUGGAAAACACACCUUUAGUGAAGUAGAAGUAUUUGAGUAUCUUGAUGCAGUAACUUAUAGUUGUGAUCCUGCACCUGGACCAGAUCCAUUUUCACUUAUUGGAGAGAGCACGAUUUAUUGUGGUGACAAUUCAGUAUGGAGUCGUGCUGCUCCAGAGUGUAAAGUGGUCAAAUGUCGAUUUCCAGUAGUCGAAAAUGGAAAACAGAUAUCAGGAUUUGGAAAAAAAUUUUACUACAAAGCAACAGUGAUGUUUGAAUGUGAUAAGGGUU